rnacentral:rRNA from 1 species
UACGUAGGGGGCGAGCGUUGUCCGGAUUUAUUGGGCGUAAAGAGCUCGUAGGCGGUUCGAUAAGUCGGACGUGAAAUCUCCACGCUCAACGUGGAGGGGCCGUUCGAUACUGUCGUGACUCGAGUCCGGUAGGGGAGUGUGGAAUUCCCGGUGUAGCGGUGAAAUGCGCAGAGAUCGGGAGGAACACCCGUAGCGAAGGCGGCACUCUGGGCCGGUACUGACGCUGAGGAGCGAAAGCGUGGGGAGCAAACAGGGAUUAAGAU